rnacentral:rRNA from 1 species
AGUGAACGCUGGCGGUAGGCCUAACACAUGCAAGUCGAACGGCAGCACAGUAAGAGCUUGCUCUUACGGGUGGCGAGUGGCGGACGGGUGAGGAAUACAUCGGAAUCUACUUUUUCGUGGGGGAUAACGUAGGGAAACUUACGCUACUACCGCAUACGACCUACGGGUGAAAGCAGGGGAUCUUCGGACCUUGCGCGUUUGAAUGAGCCGAUGUCGGAUUAGCUAGUUGGCGGGGUAAAGGCCCACCAAGGCGACGAUCCGUAGCUGGUCUGAGAGGAUGAUCAGCCACACUGGAACUGAGACACGGUCCAGACUCCUACGGGAGGCAGCAGUGGGGAAUAUUGGACAAUGGGCGCAAGCCUGAUCCAGCAAUACCGCGUGGGUGAAGAAGGCCUUCGGGUUGUAAAGCCCUUUUGUUGGGAAAGAAAAGCAGCAGGUUAAUACCCCGCUGUUCUGACGGUACCCAAAGAAUAAGCACCGGCUAACUUCGUG